GACGAGCGCUGGCGGCGUGCUUAACACAUGCAAGUCGAACGGAAAGACCCUGCUUUUGUGGGGUGCUCGAGUGGCGAACGGGUGAGUAACACGUGAGUAACCUGCCCUUGACUUUGGGAUAACUUCAGGAAACUGGGGCUAAUACCGGAUAGGAGCUCCUGCUGCAUGGUGGGGGUUGGAAAGUUUCGGCGGUUGGGGAUGGACUCGCGGCUUAUCAGCUUGUUGGUGGGGUAGUGGCUUACCAAGGCUUUGACGGGUAGCCGGCCUGAGAGGGUGACCGGCCACAUUGGGACUGAGAUACGGCCCAGACUCCUACGGGAGGCAGCAGUGGGGAAUAUUGCACAAUGGGCGGAAGCCUGAUGCAGCAACGCCGCGUGCGGGAUGACGGCCUUCGGGUUGUAAACCGCUUUCGCCUGUGACGAAGCGUGAGUGACGGUAAUGGGUAGAGAAGCACCGGCUAACUACGUG
rnacentral:rRNA from 1 species